AGCUCGGAUUCAGACUCGGAUUUCAGUGGCUUAAGCGAUUCCACAGAUUACUCAUGUAUUGAAACGGAUGGUUGGAGUAUGGAAUGCAGAUAGCGAAAAUGAAAUUGAAGAAUAAACUGAAGCUAUUGAGCGAAUAGCUAUUGAAGCUAUUCGGCUAUCGCCUUCUAACCAACGAUUGAGUGUCGCAGGGUAUCCAUACAUCUCUGUGCCAUGUCUGUCGUAGCAUCGCCGGUAAAAAAUAUUCUGCAUGAUGACAAAAACAUGAAUGUUUUUGGAAGUGAUUUUGGAAUUUAAUAUUUUAAUUUUCAUGAUAUUGAAGUUAUGGUAAUGACUAUGUCAUUAAAAUAUUAUGGUCAAGUUUAGAGAUAAAGUUUAGGUGUAAUAGCCCAUAUACACAAUAAAAUAUUUACAUACUUUACACCAGUGAGUGUAAAGUUAAGAAUCCCACAAUCAAUGCUGCCUUUCCAAGUCUGUUUUUGUUCUCUCUUUUGAAUUAAUUGUAGUGACUGGGAUAGGAGGAAGUAUUUCCUGGGUAUUUUAUUGGUUGUUUUGCCACACACUUUUAACACAACACACAAAAGAACACAAAUAAUGUCAUUGUGUUAACAGUGUCAGUCCAAAACUAUUUAUAUUCUUUAUUUAUCUUAUUUAUUUAUUUACCCAACAGACGUCCAUCAGCCCACUCACAUUAAAGAGGAAGAGGAGGAUCCACAGCCCCCCCACAUUAAAGAGGAAGAGGAGGAAGAGUGGAUCACUCAGGAGGAAGAGUGUCUUCUAGGGCAGGAGGAGGCUGAUCUCAGCAAGUUUCCACUGACUGUUGUCUCUGUGAAGACUGAAGAGCAUGAAGACAAACCACCUGAGUCCUCACAGCUUCAUCACAGUCCAAUGGAAAAAGUUUGGACACCCCUGCCAUAUGGUCUCAACAUCAAAGGUCUAUUUCCCUACGAAGACCAUGCAUCCUGCCCAUCAACCAAUGGCCUCACCACCGAAGUUUGAUCACUCUAUGGAGGCUGUACACCCCUCCCAUCCCCACACCACUUCAACACCGCUGGCCCAUCACCAAAUGUCCACACCUAUGGUCCUUCACCCGGCGUACACAAUAGCUUGCUACCUGAAUCCACCUGAGAAUAAAAAGGCAGCUUUCCUGGCACCAGACAGGAGAGAUGCAGGCAACCCAUCUAUUGAGGACACUAUCUGUUAUCAACCACAGGCAGAAAAAUCAUGGACGCCAUGUGAUGGAUGUAGGGAGGAGUUGGAAAAAAAGUGGCCAGAAAAAUAAGGAAUUGAAGAAGUCCUCUUGAAAAUAGAUCCGGUCCAAGUCAGAGUACUUCAAACUCUCUGCGACUUGGUUGGAGACAAAUACAGCGACGGCCCUCCUCAACAAUCGGGCCAGCAAGAGCUCUUUCCUGAGAGCGGCGUAUUCAUAUCAUUGUUCCGCCUUGCUGCCAUGAGACAUGCUGCAAAGCCCAAAUGUAUGCGUUUAUUUUGACCUCUUUUUUUUACAGUAGAGGAGUGUCAAAAUGCUGUCCCUUUUUGACGCCCUGGAAACAAACCUGCAGGAACACCAAAGCGCAUCCUUAACCGGAAAAAAGUUGAAGGAAUCCUUACGUAUGUCCUGAGAUGCAGUACCCUUCCUGAUUGGGACGAUAUUGAGGAGGUCAAGCUCAAGAAAGCUUUGGUAAACAAAAGUCAGGCCAGAGACGGUUUUAAGUAGGCCCUUGUACCUGUCAAGUUCAUUCUAUGGUAGGAUGUUUCCUUGGUAAACAUGUUCAAUAUUUUGGUCUAGGUUUGCGCGGUAUAUGUUGUAAAAAAUGGCCCUAUGAUGUAGCUUUUAGUACCAGGUUAUACUGUGAUAAUGCAUAUUGAGCUGUGCUGUGUCAAGCAAAUUUGGCAGUGAUGCACCCUCACUAACAAGCUAGCGGCUAAUAUCCUUUUACAGUUCAAAGUUGUUUCCAAAAUAAAAAAAAAUGCAACUGGAAAUGACGCAGUAUGUUACUGCUUACAUAAUCAGGUAUAUUAGUAGCUUUUGUAACCAAUUUCAACAUGUUUCAAUGAUCAUUUGUGUACCAAAUGUUAUAUUGUUAUCGCAGGAGGCUGUUCUAUUGUUUACAACAGUGUUUCUUAAUCAUAGGGCUGGGGCCCACUGUUUGGCUGCGAGUACCCCUUGGAAGCCGCCAAUAAAUAUCUGUUUCUUAGCUGUGGUCCGUCCAUAUGGGCCGCAAUGGUACUCGCUUGUAAUCCACUUUAGUGUAGAAUGACUCAUUCAGUGUUUAUAUUUCAUUUGGCCCCGGACCCCUCUGUAGUGGAAAAUUCUGAGACCCCUCUGUGGUGGAAAAGUUGGUCGUGCCCCAAGGUUAAAAAUGUUAAGAAUCCCUGGUUUUCAAUGUGUGAUUAUUUUUUUGUAUGUAGACCAGUUCCAGACAGCACGGUUACAAUUUUAUAAAUGUAUUUCAGUUUUUGCUUGGAAUAUUUCAAAAAUGGAAAUGUUGUCAUUUACUCGCCCUCUUACUGAGAUGAAGUCAAGUGUUUUUUUAACUAAGGUACCUGGUUUGCUCAACAAGGAGUUAAAAAAACUACACCUGACUUUUUCACAAUAACAAAGUGAGUACU